rnacentral:rRNA from 1 species
GGCUUAUCUGUGACGUUACCUACAGAAGAAGGACCGGCUAACUCCGUGCCAGCAGCCGCGGUAAUACGGAGGGUCCGAGCGUUAAUCGGAAUUACUGGGCGUAAAGCGUGCGCAGGCGGUUUGUUAAGCGAGAUGUGAAAGCCCUGGGCUCAACCUAGGAAUAGCAUUUCGAACUGACAAACUAGAGUCUUGUAGAGGGGGGUAGAAUUCCAGGUGUAGCGGUGAAAUGCGUAGAGAUCUGGAGGAAUACCGGUGGCGAAGGCGGCCCCCUGGACAAAGACUGACGCUCAUGCACGAAAGCGUGGGGAGCAAACAGGAUUAGAUACCCUGGUAGUCCACGCCGUAAACGAUGUCUACUCGGAGUUUGGUGUCUUGAACACUGGGCUCUCAAGCUAACGCAUUAAGUAGACCGCCUGGGGAGUACGGCCGCAA